rnacentral:pre_miRNA from 14 species
UUUUCAAAGACCCCUGGAGUGGGGAGACCCUCACUCAAGUCUCGGGAUGACUCGACCCCCCAAGAACUCACAAAGACCU